GACGGAUUCCAAGCUUCCCGACGCGCAGUCCGGUUACGAGAAGGGCUACACUGUCACGCUCGCGGCACACUCCGGAGCACAUUUGAUCUACGAAUCG
rnacentral:ncRNA from 1 species